rnacentral:rRNA from 1 species
GACGAACGCUGGCGGCGUGCCUAAUACAUGCAAGUUGAGCGAUGAAGAUUGGUGCUUGCACCAAUUUGAAGAGCAGCGAACGGGUGAGUAACGCGUGGGGAAUCUGCCUUUGAGCGGGGGACAACAUUUGGAAACGAAUGCUAAUACCGCAUAACAACUUUAAACAUAAGUUUUAAGUUUGAAAGAUGCAAUUGCAUCACUCAAAGAUGAUCCCGCGUUGUAUUAGCUAGUUGGUGAGGUAAAGGCUCACCAAGGCGAUGAUACAUAGCCGACCUGAGAGGGUGAUCGGCCAAAUUGGGACUGAGACACGGCCCAAACUCCUACGGGAGGCAGCAGUAGGGAAUCUUCGGAAAUGGACGGAAGUCUGGCCGAGCAACGCCGCGUGAGUGAUGAAGGUUUUCGGAUCGUAAAACUCUGUUGGUAGAGAAGAAAGUUGGGGAGAGUGGAAAGCUCAUCAAGUGACGGUAACUACUCAGAAAGGGACGGCUAACUACGUG